CACACGCUCCUUAGAUCCACCUUUGGGAUGUAUCUGUGUAUCUGUUCUGCCUUGCUGAUAGAUCUCUGCACCCUGGUGUUGGGUUCUCCAAUGGGCUGCCAAAUGACAUUCAUCAACUUGUGGUUGUACAGUCAAAGGUACUUGAGUCAUUGGCAUGUUAAAGUAAUAUAUCUGCACGGUAGCCCCUCAGUUCUGAUGUGUUACUCCAGGCUGUUGCUGCCAUCAGGAUUUUGCUGCUGUGUGGACACG